rnacentral:rRNA from 1 species
GUGGGGAAUAUUGGACAAUGGGGGGAACCCUGAUCCAGCCAUGCCGCGUGUGUGAAGAAGGCCUUUUGGUUGUAAAGCACUUUAAGCGAGGAGGAGGCUACCGAGAUUAAUACUCUUGGAUAGUGGACGUUACUCGCAGAAUAAGCACCGGCUAACUCUGUGCCAGCAGCCGCGGUAAUACAGAGGGUGCAAGCGUUAAUCGGAUUUACUGGGCGUAAAGCGCGCGUAGGUGGCCAAUUAAGUCAAAUGUGAAAUCCCCGAGCUUAACUUGGGAAUUGCAUUCGAUACUGGUUGGCUAGAGUAUGGGAGAGGAUGGUAGAAUUCCAGGUGUAGCGGUGAAAUGCGUAGAGAUCUGGAGGAAUACCGAUGGCGAAGGCAGCCAUCUGGCCUAAUACUGACACUGAGGCGCGAAAGCAUGGGGAGCAAACAGGAUUAGAAACCCGAGUAGUCC